ACAGGACACAGUUGCAGAACAGGAAAGGGAAACAUGCCAGCAUCAGCUACCUAUGUUCUCUGUUGCUCUAAAUAAGAUUUCCACAAGUGAAGAUGUUCCCAGAGAUUUUGGCACAUUGUUUCUCUGAGGAGUUGGUGCUGAAGGCCAGUAACUGCAGGUCAGUUGAGAUGGUGAGAGGUGCUGCAAUCAUCCCUGACCCAGACCCCUAACUACAGUCCUGGCAACUUGAGGAUACUUUUAUUAUUUCUGCUUUAUUUACCUGUCUGGGUGGAACUGAAGAAGAACAAUACUGAAGUGAACUUAAUUUUUGUUGUAUUAAAUUCUCCUAUCCUGUUAGCCAUGAUGCCUCACAACCUGGGAGGAACCACUAGGUCAAGCAAUUGUCCCCUAGUCCAGUUGUUGGAUCAACUGUCAUAAAGAAGAAAAGGAACUACAAAAGAGCAUACACUGGGCAAGUUUAAAAAUGCUUUAUUUUAUUUUAUUUUAUUUUAUUUUAUUUUAUUUUAUUUUAUUUUAUUUUAUUUUAUUUUAUUUUAUUUUA
rnacentral:lncRNA from 1 species